rnacentral:piRNA from 1 species
UGCUUGUAUGUAUAUGUUUUCAGAGUUAACC